UACGAAGGGGGCUAGCGUUGCUCGGAAUUACUGGGCGUAAAGGGCGCGUAGGCGGAUAGUUUAGUCAGAGGUGAAAGCCCAGGGCUCAACCCUGGAAUUGCCUUUGAUACUGGCUAUCUUGAGUUCGGGAGAGGUGAGUGGAACUCCGAGUGUAGAGGUGAAAUUCGUAGAUAUUCGGAAGAACACCAGUGGCGAAGGCGGCUCACUGGCCCGAUACUGACGCUGAUGCACGAAAGCGUGGGGAGCAAAAAGG
rnacentral:rRNA from 1 species